AGUUAGUUCCUUUAGAUUGAGCGAGUGCUCGAAGUUGUAGUAGAAAGAUGAACAUGAGAGAUUGGUCUGGGUUUGCCCCCAAAACACGUAUGGAUCUCUCUGCCAUUUCCCAAGUUUGAGACUUUGUAUUCGCCUUGACUGCCAGUGUGCAAAGCGGUGGAUAUAUAGAAUUUCAGAUUAAAUCUCCUCCAACACAGCAGAGUGCAUAGUUUGUGUGAAACGAUUAAAAAUGGCCGAUGAAGCCAACAGAGCUGCAUUCAUGGAGAUUCAAGGUCGCGUGAUGAGCUCACCACCAAACUGAAGCAGUUUUUUUUUUUACCCACUUCAGUACAGAUAUAUCAAAUAUGGUGAAAUCGUGACUUAUUAAUGGAGAAUUCAAAUAGAUUUAAGGUGCAGAACUAUAAGUAGUAUUAAUCAUUUCAAGAUGCUAAUGCUGGUGGUAUUAAUCAAAUAAGCUGAAGAACUAGCCGCCGCUGUAGCAGCAAUAAAGGGUCAUCCUGUAGAAAAUGAUACCGAUGCGGUAUGAAUAUCAAUUUCUUGAGAUGCUGAUCAGCUUUUGGAAUCUAAAAGGAAGGAUUCAUUGAUAUCGGUACUAUCUGGCAUGCGAUCCAGAUCAAGUAUGCUUUGUUCUGUCAGUCUAUGGCAUUCAAUAUGAUUCAGGCUUUAAUCUCCAGAUUUGUAACACAUAACAGUUUGUGGUACCAAGCAUGUCCACACUGUUUUCGACAACUGAAACAAAAGAAGAACAACGAUAUGCUAAUCUGUCUGGAACACAAUAUGCAAGUGCCUCUUCCAUGGUAACAAACUAACAACUUCAUCCUAACUACAUCAUAAUGUGGGGGCUUUUGACCAUUGGAGCAGUGCUCAAUUUUCUUGGAUGUGGAUUGCUUUGGCUUAUAGUCUCACAAAAGAUUGCUGCUUUGCCUUUGUGGGUGUAUAGUGCUUGGCAUCACACUUGAGUAAGGAGAUUUACGAAGGCUGUCGUGGUUGUGAGUCCAAAGGAAAACUAUUGUACUGCUUGCUUAUACUGCUGUCAUCAAAACAAGGUAGGAGUUGCUGCAUGACACUGGAUUGUAAAACUUCCUCACUAUAGUUUCUUGCUGAACCAAAAUUUGUACAACUAGUGUG